UUGCAUUAUAUUACAUUGUAUGAGAUUUUACCAGCGUACUCUAAUGUACUCUAGCGUGCUCUGCUUAGUAGGACCGAGGUUAAAUCCUUUUUUCAUCUGUGUUAUUGAUUGUUUGAAUCAGAAUUUCCUCGACAUUUUCCAUCUUUAAAAGUGGACUGAAACCCCAUUUGUGGUACAAUAUUUGAUGCUUACAAAAUGAUUUAUGGUUACAAGUAUUUUAUGCAAAAAUACACAGUCAACAUCCAUAUAAAAAUACUACCUACCUAUCUAGUGGAAAUAUUGACGGUCGAAUUAGGGGUAAAAUGCAAACAAUACUUUAUUCAAAAUGAAUAUGAUCGGGCAACAGGCACAGCUUAUUUUAACCCUCUCACUAAACACAUGUAUUUAUUUAUGGCCAAAAGUAUUUCAAAUUGCAUAAGCAAUAUUACGAAAUUCAAACUUUCAUACAAUAACAGUAAUAGAUCAAUUACAAGAAAUAUGACACUUGAUUUUCAGUCCUUUUGUAGAUUACGUGUUUUGAAUUAUUUAACGACGUUCCCUCCUUAAAAGCUGGUACGAUUUGUUUUAAUUAUAUGUAAAUUUAAUUUUAUCACAAUUACAGAUUAACGUUCUUUCUCAAUUUUGUUCAUCAUAAUUUCAGGAAAUUCCACAGAAAACCUAUUUAAAUACAAGUAAGAGAUUUGUAGGAACGUAUAGCUAAAAUACAACAUGAUGAAGUGGACCUGUGUGUUGUUGCUUGUUGCUUUGGUGGCUUUGACACUCAUAGAACAUAGUGAUGCAAGCUAUGGACGGAGAUAUCCUACACCCUGGCCUUUGGAAUGCUGUGUGUGUGUCACGACUCCCUGUCACUGCCUUCCCCCUAAUCACCCUUAUUGUAGGUGGCAGAACCAAUAUUGACCAUAACGGAACAACGAAAUGAAGACAAAAUGAAAUGGCCAAAAAUGGUAUCUUUUGCUGUAUGUCUGAAACCUAGAAAGAAUGUUUACUUCAAAAUAAAUUCUUCAUUUUU